GGGAAAGCUGGCAAUCACAGGCCUCACCCAGCUCCCACGCAAUCCGAAGGGCAGGUCUCACUCCCACCAUGCCCCGCCUCACAGCACUGAGUCUGUUUCCAGAAAGUGGGCAAGCAGGGCUGAGAAUUUGCCUUGGGCUACUUGCCUCCCAGGCGGAGGUGGUGAGCGGAGAUUGCGCCAUCGCACUCCAGCCUGGGCAACAAGAGCAAAACUCCAUCUCAAUAAUAAAAAAAAAGAUACUAAGGCUUUAGUUCUUCCCCGGCCUGUGGAGUCUGCUUGCUGGAUUCAUGCCCUUCCCCCCAAGCAGAGUUCUGGCCAGGAGGCUUCUGAACAGGUUCAAAUUGUUACAAAGAUCAGCUGGAGAGUUCCUUCUCCCUGUGGCGUUUUCCCUGCACCUCUGGCCACCCUCCGGAAGGAUCCCUAUGGUGCCAGGCAGGAAUGACCUGCUUGGGGACCCAGUGAGCUCACAGGGCCUUUCCCACUUCUUCCUCUACCUGUGUAUUUCACUUGGCUCUCUACAUCGACUCAGCUCCAGCCAUGUGAAGUGCCUCACUCCCUGUUCACCUUCCACCAUGAUUUUAAGUUCUGUGAGGCCUCCCUAGAAGCUGAUGCCACCAUGUUUCCUGUACAACCUGCAGAAUGGCCUCUGCUUAUUACAAGAAACAAAACAAAACAAAACAAAUCCAAGAAACCAA
rnacentral:lncRNA from 10 species